ensembl:misc_RNA Metazoa_SRP Metazoan signal recognition particle RNA
GCCAGGUUCGGUGGUGCACGCCUGUAACCCCAGCUACGUGGGAGGCUGAGAAGGAGGGUGCCCGGGAGCUCUGGGUAGCUGUGCCCUACGUUGAUUGGGUGUCUGCACUAAGUUCGGCACCAAUACGGUGACCUCUCAGGACGGGGGGACCACCAGGUUGCCUAAAGUGGGUGAAAUGGCCCAGGUCAGAAAUGGAGCAGGUCAAAACUCCCUGUAGUGGGAUCACAUCUGUGAAUAGCCACUGCACUCCAGCCUGGGCAACAUAGUGAGACUCCGUUUCUA